GUCCUUGUAGCGCAAUGGAUAGCGCUUUGGACUUCUAAUCGAAAAGUCGUGGUUUGGAAUUCCGCCUGAGAUG